rnacentral:rRNA from 1 species
UACGUAGGUGGCAAGCGUGUCCGGAUUUAUUGGGUUUAAAGGGUGCGUAGGCGGCCCUGUAAGUCAGUGCUGAAAUAUCCCAGCUUAACUGGGAGGGUGGCAUUGAUACUGCGGGGCUAGAGUACAGAUGAGGUAGGCGGAAUUGACGGUGUAGGCGGUGAAAUGCUUAGAUAUCGUCAAGAACACCUAUAGCGAAGGCAGCUUACUAGGCUGUAAACUGACGCUGAGGCACGAAAGUUGUGGGGGAUC